CCCAGGGAGAGAUGACAGAGACAAGCCAGCAAGAGGUGAUGGUGAGAAGAUAAGGAACAGGACUGGAGCAAUGAGGUCCCACACGGGGGUGAGUAAAAGUGGGGCUGUGUGAGUCACAGCGCUGCUCCGAUGCCAGUCAGGGUGAGGAGCCAACAAAACACCCUGGCACUUGUUCUUUUCCCUGCCAAGAAAGUUGCAAGAGGUGCUGGAUGCUGCUCUUCCCCACUCAAGAGGCCUCGUGCUGUAGCUAAAGAGAGGGAAGACAGGCCCAGUCCUCAGCUGCAAGGCCCUCUCCUGAGCCCAGAGCUGUAACCAGAUACACCCCGGUUGUACCCCGGCUUCCGACAGCCAAUUCCCCCCUGAGGGAUGCUCACGUUUGGUGAGUGGAGGAACAGGAGGAGAGAGGAGCUUCAUGGAAGUUGACAUGAAUAAAAACAUUC
rnacentral:lncRNA from 1 species